GUUGGAAGUGAUGGGAGCAGAUCAUCAGAAUUGCAAGAUCAUUCCUGCCACGGGGGUUACUGUGACCUUGGGACAUGUGGAACAUCAGGAACAUGUGCCAGAAGCUGCUGAUUGGAGCUGCCCCUCCUGAGGGUAAGGGGAAAGGAGGCUUAAAAUUUGUGCUCUGCAAAUCCCUGGCAAGAUGAUAAGUUGGCUUGGCCUCUCACUUGUGCUGGGCAUGACCCUCCCAGGAUUUCUGGUGUGAAAUGGAGGCACAGCAGAGUGAAGGGGAUUAUCCCACCU